rnacentral:rRNA from 1 species
GAUGAACGCUAGCGGCAGGCCUAACACAUGCAAGUCGAGGGAGGAGCUUUCGGGCUUCGACCGGCGUACGGGUGCGUAACGCGUAUACAAUCUGCCUUUCACAUAGGGAUAGCCCGAAGAAAUUUGGAUUAAUACCUAAUGGUAUAUAGGAGUGGCAUCACAUUUAUAUUAAAGCUGAGGCGGUGAAAGAUGAGUAUGCGUUCUAUUAGCUAGUUGGAGAGGUAACGGCUCCCCAAGGCGACGAUAGAUAGGGGUUCUGAGAGGGAUAUCCCCCACACUGGUACUGAGAUACGGACCAGACUCCUACGGGAGGCAGCAGUGAGGAAUAUUGGACAACGGUCGGAAGACUGAUCCAGCCAUGCCGCGUGCAGGAAGACGGCCUUAUGGGUUGUAAACUGCUUUUGCAGGGGAAGAAUAAGGACUACGAGUAGUUUGAUGACGGUACUCUGCGAAUAAGCAUCGGCUAACUCCGUG